rnacentral:lncRNA from 1 species
GAAAAAAAGAAAUAAAAUAGUUUCGCUUUGGCGUCCCCACCGCGAUUCCAUUCGGACCUUAUCGCCACGCUUUUCGUAAUUCCUCACCUUUCGAUCGCAAUCUCUUUCUUCACCCACUCACCCACACACAUGCACGCAUUUAUUAUUUUCAGUAAAAAAUUGAAUGAGAAUUUGAUCAUUAUAAAUUUUUUCCCACUCUGUAACUCAUCACAAAAUGGGCACUGGCGCAUCGAGAAAUCCCGAUAGCAGCUCCCAUGGCAGCGAAGAGAGAGACCAAGCCGGCGGUCAACUCUAUGUUUCUCUCAGAAUGGAAAAUUAUAAGCUCAAUGGUGAUAUCAUACCCCAUGUUUACGGCUCGGUACCACUCGUCGGCUCCUGGGACCCCUCUAAAGCCGUAAGUUUGUUUCAUAUUUCCCAAUUUUUUUUUCUAGUUUUAGUACUUCAAUUUAUUGGAAAAGUUAGAGUACAGUUGAUUUUUUCAGUUUCAUAUAAGAUUGUGCAUUUUUGCUAAUAGAUGUUUCUGGGGUUAAAAUUAAGAACACUUUGCUGGCCUAAUUUAUUUUAUUACAAGUCAAUCACUCAAAUUUUCUUUGUGUUUCUUACUUUGUCUUUUCAAGGUAAAAUUAACAGAAUUGCUGACUUAUAUACGAUAUUCUAAAAGAAUUGUUCUAUGUAAAUGCAUUAGUCUUUCGAAAGAAUUAAGCAUUUCUGCCAAUUUGGAUGAGGAAACUUAUACAUCAUUGGGAUUUAUAAGUUACAUAAGUCAGCAGUUCCACCAGUAGACGGAGUGCCUGACCUGAAACAAAAAUGAAAGAACAAGAAUGAAAGUUAAUUGAUUAAUUCGAAACAAAAAUGAAUUCAUUGACUAUUGUGUUUCAACCAAUUUUUCACACAUCCUAUGCUGCUGAAUCUUGUGUUUUUGUAGUUAUUUUUGGUUGGAAUUUUGGGAGAUUUUCGUUCUUUUAGUUGCUAAUAUAUUUUCAUAAACUAUCAGCUUUCGUUGGAACGUGAAUACACAUCUAUGUGGAUAUUAAGUUUUGUGGUCCCUCCUAACCAUGGUAAUUAUGCCCACUGUGUAAGCCAAGAAUUUUUCUCCAUUUUAGUAUUCUUGUAAAAUUGAAGAUUUAAUUAUCUCUUGUUUUUUUACAGACACUUUGGAUUUUAAGUUUCUGUUGAAGCCCAAAUAUUGUAGCUCUCCAUGUAUAGUUGAGGAGGGUCCGAACAGGCAAUUGACAGCGGGUACAUUACAUGGGGAUGGGAGGUCGGCUAUGUUUAAAUUGAGUGGUGAUGAGGUUUUUGAGUACAGAGUAUUUAUUAACGUGGAUAGAGUUUCGCCAUUUGAUCUUGCGGCAAGUUGGAGAGCAUAUCAAGAGAAUCUUCAGCCUUCAACUGUUCGAGGAAUCCCAGAUAUUAGUAUAAAUUCAGCUGCUGAAGCUGGUCCUGAGGUGGGUAUUAAGCUUAUUAUGUACAUGAGAAUUAUUCUCUAAUUGUCGGGUUAUGUUUCUUUAGUAUCGGACAUUUGAAUCCUUUUGACUCAAUAGGAUAUUGCAUGCAUUUGGCCUCUGUAUAUUGUUUGUGGGAUUAAAGGGCCCCGAAGACAUGACUUUCCUGAGAGGAUUUGCAUUUCCCCCCGCUCCAAUUUAUUAUGAUAUAUUUGGACACUUAUGGAAAAAGUAAUGCAUAUUGGUGCAUUAAGCCUUUAUAAAGAAGGGGUGUGGAUGUCUUCUUCUAAGUUAUAUGUUUUUGAAAAAUCAAUCUCACUUUGUGGCUAAAUUUCUACAUACAAGUUCUCUUGUCUUUGGCAAAAAAGCCUUGAAAUAUAUCGAAUGAUAAUUAUUGUCGAAGGAGACAAAUAGUAUAACCUUUAGAGAGCAAGAUACAACUUGGUGCUGACGAAUGAAAAUCAUACAUUUUUCUUGGAUUAAAGACUGCGAUCUUAAUGGCUGUGUAACACUUGUAGAGUUUCUUGAUGAUAUUUUAGAGUUUCUUGGGUCCCUCAAUUCAAUCUAACUUUUACUUUUCAAGAGUUCAAGGUGAAAAAGGAUGGUUUUGGUGCUAUGACUUAGGGAAUGUGCACCAUCUGACCAGACUUUUAUAAUUGUCAAGGAGUAAUUGUACUCAAGUUUGGGUGGGACUUGGGGGUGACUAACACGGUUCACUAAUUUAUUUUCCUGAAUUUUUCUGAUUCGUGAGCAUCCCAAAUGCUAACUAUUAAAAUUCUUCCUUUAUGUAUAGCUUCUUAUGAUUUCUUCUGUACGAUAUCUAUCAAUAUUGAUGGUUUGAUAUAUCAGUUGUAUUUUGACAAUUUCCAAUACAGAAUGGAUCUUCAGCAAGUUUGGAGCUUGAUCUUGAGCACUAUGUUGUCCCUGCUCCAGCUAUGGCUGCAAACUCAGCUCUGGUGUAUGCAGCUAACAUGACAGAAACACCUACGUCACUGAGUCGUUUUGGGGUAUUUUCCUGAACUGAUUGCUCUAGUGGUGGGUUACUACAUUAGAUAAUGGUGUUUCUAGCUGCAACAUCAAUGGUGUCGUUCUUGCCCCAAUCUCUUAUUUCUUAUUCAGACUAUAUUCCACGCUUUGAGAAUUGUCUUGUGUUCAAAAUAAUUGAGUUCGCAAAGCUAGUGGUAAAAUACUGAUAUUGAGGGAGAAUUAAAUUCACUAUAUAAAUUAGUUUUCUACUGGAGAUGGAGAUAAUUAUCUGAACCUAAAUGUUUUUAUUCCUGUUCCCCAUCAAGAGGAAGGGUGGACUUACCGAUUGAUGAUUAGCAAUUUUUUUACCUGAAAUUGCUGUUUUGUUAAAUUGAGAUUUUUCCCUACGGACCUGGACCUACUAAAUUAAGUCAAAUGAGUAUUCCUCUGUCAAAGCACUGGUACGUAAUCACGUUGAUAUCUGUUGGUUAAUCUGAAAUGGAAGGAAGCACGUCCGUUCAUCAAUAAUACUUACAGCUUGUUCGGGAGAGAUUAAAAAAUCUAAUUUUAAUCUAAGUCUAAGUCAAAGUCAAACAAUCAAUAUUAACUACAUCUUUCAUCGGUCCCACAACUUUUCAACCAUAUAUUUCAAAAACUUCUAUCACAAUUAACUAAAAAUUCUAAUUUUAAUCUCUACCAAACACCCUCUGAUAUGAUCCGGGUUAGGCCAAAGUCGGCCGCAUAGUAUGCUUCGGGACCAAAGUUGCAAUUUUUCGCAAGAAUCAUUUUUUGACUCAAUUUCUUAUUUUUGUCAAGUUUAUUAUUUUGGGACUCUUAAAUCCUAUUUUGACUCAAUUUCUUAUUUUUGGCAAGUUUAUUAUUUUAGGACUCUUAAAUUAGGUUUUUUUUUUUUUUUUUUUUUUCCAUAUUUCUAGACUUUAGCAUAAAUAGAAAAUUUAUUUCAUUAUUGUAUUCGAAGACUUUGAGAAUUAAUUCUAGAGGCUUUUCGCUUCCAAUAUUUGUUCUUGUGUGGAACAACCGAACUGAUCAAGAUUUCGCGAUCUUUUGGCAUUCAAAACUUGGGUAAGAUUCAUUUCAUUGUGUAAUCAAAAGGUCCUUCUUGUCUUUGUUACUUUGGGGUUGUUUGAUUCAUUAAUUGGUUGGAUUAAAUCCAAAUCCGGAUUAAAUUUAUGAGUUUUGUGAUCAAAAGAUCAAUAGUUUAAUAUACUAUUGGUUGUUUGGUCUGCAAAUUUGUGAAUUGAGUCCUAAACUUUGAUUUUUGGCUUUCUUAGGGUUUGUGUAAUUUUUCGUGGGUUUAAAAGCGGUCUAGCCAUCCUGGUUCACAUCACCCUCCUAAUAAAAUUAUUCAUGCAACGUGCUGAUUAACAGGGCUGAUGUUAUGAGUGGACUUUGCUACGGUCUUUUAAUUGCACUUCUAUGAACCAGUUCUCUCAGGAAUUAGCUUGCAACCUUUUGCGUGUUACUUCCAUACUUUGCAGCCACAUGUAGUACACUUCUAUAUGUCUAAAAUGUGUAAUUGUAUUAGGGGAUGGAAGUCAUAGUCCCAGACCCAACUGCACCACCUUCAGGAUCUGGCAUGAUUGAGUCGAAGUCAGUGGGAACUUUUUCAUCAAUGCAGAAACAAGAAGGUCACAGAGGAAUCUUUGUGGAUAGGGGAGUAGGAUCUCCUAGGCUAGUAAAAUCUGCAAGUGCUGCGUCAUUCACGGCUGACCUCAAACUUUAUUCAGAAGCCAAGGUAUGUAGGAACUGAAAGAAGACUGAGUGUAAAAUAUAAGAUUUUUGGCCCUAGAAAUGCAUACUUCUAAUUCAUUACCCACUGUAAAUUGUUAGAACUCUAUGCCCGCCGCUGCAGGAGCUGUUGCAGCUGCAGCUGUAGCAGAUCAGAUGCUUGGGCCAAAGGAGGAUAGACAUCUAGCAAUUGUGCUGGUACACUCUUAGUUUCUUUUUUUCUGACUUUUGAUCAUACAUUUCAUAAUCUGUUUCUUUCAUUCAAGCUUUGAAAUACUGUAUACUACAUAUUCACUAAAAUUCUUGCAGGAAGAUACUUUUGUCAUCCAUACUGGGCUUUGAAUUUUCAUUGGUUGUAAAUUUAUACCUCAGAAGUAUGUUAUUCUAAUCUCCACAGGUUGGAUUGCCUGCUCGUGGUAAAACUUUUACUGCAGCUAAACUUACUAGAUAUCUACGUUGGUUAGGGCAUGAGACCAAACACUUCAAUGUUGGGAAGGUGAAUACCUUUUUUAACUUUUAUUGCUCAUUAAUUUUAUAGACUUAUGGAAACAGGAGAAGCUGAAUAAUUGGUAUAUUUUUGUUCACAGUAUCGAAGACUAAAGCAUGGAAUUAAUCAGGUUUGUCAAUUGGUCAGAUAUCACCUUUUUCCUCACGUUUCUGUAUAUUCUUUCAUAUAUCAGAAAUAGCUUUAGAAUUUCUACAUUCUAGAGCAGUUGAAUUCACAUAUCUUAGAAACAUCUUGGGACUAUACGUUCAGGUCUUUUAACAAAUUGAGACGUCCUUAAUUCCCUCAGACGUGAUUAAAUUCUCUCUAUUUCUCGUUCUCAUGACAAUUGGUCAUCAAAACUCAAAAUUUCUCUGCACAAUGCUCGAUAUUUGGGGUUAAAUGAAUAAGAUCUUUUAUUCUUGCUCCUCGUACUACUAAAGGCACGACCGCACGAAUGCCAAUCAGACACGUGGUCCACAUUUUAUUCAAAUCUGGUCAGUUAAGGAAAAUUCACCACCCAUAUGCAUGUAAUAUAUGUUUUCAUUGCAAUAAAAUGGUAUUUCUCUUCGUAUUUUUAAAAUAAGAACAAAAACACUGUACUGGCCGUAAAACAAUCACGAAACUGAAGAUGCUAUCAUCUGAGAACCGGUAGGAAUACCAACAGUGGUAUACGGGCAAGUGUUGAUUCUGUUUUCCAUCUCAUGACUCAUAUUUCAGAUUUUAACCCUUUGAACGAUAUGAGAUCUAACAUUUACAGAGAGAAAAGGUAAAUGAAAGAAGAUAGUAUGCCCACUUUUUUAACUAUGAUCAACAUAUGAGCUGUCCAUCUUCAAUUGUUGGGAAGAGUAACAAAACCCCAUUGCUUGCUGCCUUUAGGAGAGUCCCAUUGCUUUUUAGGUUUUUCCAUAACCUUCUCCACCUCAAUUGUUUAGAUUUUUUAUCGAGAUAGCCCAGAAUGGAUUGAUCUAUGGCCACCCAACAUACCAGGUCUGAUGUUGGAGCCAAAAUAACUUCUUUGGGCUAGUGGCCAACAAUGAUUAAUAGAUAUUUCUUCGAAAUUCACUUUCUGAAAUUAAUAAAUGGUUUUAUAGAUUGCUCAUGGUCCACGUGGAUAAAAAGCUCCAAUAUUCUUAAUGCCAUAACAAGUAUACAAUGUUGGAAACUUUUACCGGCCAGUUUCACAAUUCAUACACAUAGCAUCAAAUUAUUUCCUGGAAAUAUACUUGCAAGAAUAUUUCAACUGCCCCUUUGAAAUGUUCAGCAUCAUAAUACUCCUUCAAAAUGUUUAGUUAUGACAUGAGUGUAAUAACUGAUAAAACAGUCUGGAAUAUGAGCUCCAUGACAGCUAAAUUCAAUAAUAUGCUCAAAGGAUUUGAAAGGGUUGUACUAAUUAGAUUUGUCAAACUGUGGUGGCCAUUUGAUUUAGCAUUCUUUACGAACUUAAAUUUUCUUGGUGGCUGAAGCUAUUUUUCUAGAUACCCCUUUCAUCUUCUUACAAAAUAUCUUGAUGCAGACUGCAGAUUUUUUCCGAGGUGACAAUCCAGAAGGCUUGGAAGCACGCAAUGAGGUAAUUGUUUACCAGGAAAACCAUUUUAAAUCAUGAGAAUAUUUUAGUAAGCUGUAUAAGUUUUAUCAGCUGAAAUCACCACCAAAUUAGCAUGGAUUCAAAGUAAUUUCUCUUGUAACUAUACUUCUUCCUCGAUAACAUAUAAUAAGGGUUAUACUGUGAUAGGCACUUGCCAUUCUAGAAGUGGAGAUAUUAAUGAUAUCUUUGUCUUGUCAUUUUCGCUAUGCCUCCAUUUUGGUAUUCUAAUAAGAUUUUCAAUUCAAAAGUCAAUUGCUUUUAUUGGACAUUUCCUUAUACCCUUAGCAAAGACUUAAUGUUUCAAGACUGUUUGCACCCCUUUCUCUCUCAUUCUGCAUAAUUUAGUAUAGAAAAAUUGGGAAAAGAAAAUUUGAGGAUUACAACCAUGACAGUACCCCAAAAGUGUUGUUUGUGAUAUUAUUCUCUGUUUAUAAUAGGGAAAUUAGAGCUUUUGGCAUCUAUGGUAUGCUACAUGCUCAAAUUUGAUUAAUGAAAAGCUGUAUGCAUGCUGUUUGCUUGUGUAGUGUAAGCAUGAUAUAUUUGUGAGAGACUUUUGUGGCUAUACAUGCAUGGCUUUUCCUAACUAAUUUCAUGCCAUUCAGUUGCCACCCUUGGAAAUAUGAAAUGUGGCUAAUUUUGCAAACUCAAGAUUUGCCUGAUCAUUAUCUUCUCAUUGGUGAAAUGGCAUGAGUCAAAAGUCUCUCGUAUGUAUGACCUUCUGCUCUAUGCGUCUAUCACAUUCAGAUCUUCCCUUGAUUUUUUUCUCCUGUUCACAGUUUCUUUGGAAAUAAUAUUUGUAAACACUGUGUAAAUCUCCUCUUUUAGUUUUUCUAGAUGUUAGUAUCUUUUGUAUAGCUGUAAAUUAGUUCUUCCCAAUCUUGUAAUCUCUAAUCCUAUAAAUAUGUAAUUUUAAUUCUUUUAAAUUCUUCAGUCCUUUCCAAAUGAUGUGAAUAUGACAUGGCUGAUUUACAAGCUGUUUAUAAAUGUCAAUUGAAGAUAUCUAGGCUUCUUACUCAUGACUUCUUUUGCUGUACUUGCAAGUUUGUGGUUGCUGAUAGCAUUGGGCAUUGCAUUUUUCUCUUAAAACUUACCUGCUGAAAGAAAUUUUUAAAUUUUGAACUUCUUUUGCUGUUUUUUGUUGUUUCUUAUUUUAAGUCAUGCCCUGAAUUGGCCUUUUUCCUUGCACAUAGUUUUAAUAUGUCACCUGCAACUAGGUAGCAGCUCUUGCAAUGGAAGAUAUGAUAUCUUGGAUGCAAGAGGGUGGACAGGUAAGUUUUAUUUUUAAUUGUGAUAAUCUGCUACAUAUAUUUUACCCUGUUCUAAUAUAAAUUUUACGUGCAUUUAGGUGGGAAUAUUUGAUGCCACAAACAGUACAAGGAAUAGGAGGAAUAUGCUUAUGAAAAUGGCUGAAGGAAAAUGCAAGGUAUGAUGAUUUUGCGGCUAGUUGAUUAUAAUUCUGCGAGGAACUGUGCAGAGUAAGACUCAAUUUGUGGCAAAUCUUCCAAUAAAAUUUUCAUAGAUGUUAUAAUAGUUUGACAUGCAUAACAUGAAAGAUGAUCGUAGAGAAGCCACUUGAGGUUUCUCCCUCUCCCGCCCUUCUUUUUUUUUUUUUUUUUGGGGGUAUUGGGGCAGCGGUCUUGUGUGUUGGGUUAAGACUUCUGAAACAGAAGCUAGAGAAAGAUUCCUACAAUGCAGACUAUAGGUUAUGUGAAUUUUCCUGGGUGUGGACCACAAUGCCUUUGAGUACAAGUGCACACCACUCAACUCUGUAAGGCCUCUUUGUUUGUUUUCGACAGCAGUGCACAAGUUAUAUUUAAUCUGUGAUGGUGGUUUGCCUUGAUAUUCUUGCUUGGCAUCUAAUUUUUUAUAUGACAUAAACCAUAGCUGAUUCUCGGUGCCUUUUAGAGUGAGAGCCUGUUAGUGUGAUUACAUGUUCUUUGCUUCAGAUUAUCUUUUUGGAGACAAUAUGCAAUGAUCAGCAAAUAAUUGAAAGAAAUAUACGCCUCAAAGUUCAGCAGAGCCCUGACUAUGCGGAAGAGUAUGACUAAACUCGUUUCAUUGUAAUGCUAACCCACUGUAAUUUUACGUCGUGAUUCAUGAUAUUUUCAGGCCGGAUUUUGAAGCUGGAUAUCAUGACUUCAAACAUCGACUUGAGAACUAUGACAAAGUAGUUUCUUGAAACAUACUAUAGCUCAAGUUUUUAUUAUUAUUUUUUUGAUGGAUGCUAUGGGUAAUAGUGUUUUAUAGGUAGCAUUUUCUGAUUUCAGGUUUAUGAACCCGUAGAAGAAGGCUCUUAUAUCAAAAUGAUUGAUAUGGUCAGUGGCCAUGGUGGACAAAUACAAGUAAAACCUCCUUUCCAUCAUGUCUAAAUCUUAUCAAAUUAGUUUUGUUCAGUAUAUUUUCUAUAAAAUCAAAUUUGAAUAUCUAUUACAUAUAUAUGCAAGGUUGCUUCUCUUGCAUGAAUGGUUGCGUAAAAUAAUAGAAAAGAGACAACAAUCUUGUAUGCAAACAAUCUCCAAUAAAUCCUUGGUGGUGCUAGAAAUUUCCUUUUAUGCUUAAUUUAUUGGCACAUACAGCAGUUCCAUACACAUCGUAUUAAUUUGCCAUUAUAUGAUUUUGGAUCUGCAGAUGAUUUCUAUCUUUUUGAUAAAACCAAAUUUAAUAAUAAAUUGAAACACGUGUGAUUAGUGAUAUAGAGAGGUCCUACGAUUUAGACAAAAAUUGAUUCUCCAAUCAAUGCUAGAGUUCAUAAAUCUUCUAAGGAAAAAACCUGAAGAAAAAACUCGAAACUGGGAGCAGUAGAUUUGAUUAAUUCUUGUAAUUUUCUUGGAUUAUCUGACUUUUUAUUGAGCCACGUUAAUUAUAUUCUUUAUCAUUCCCUCCUCCAUAAAAGAAAAUUGCCAUUAGUUUGCUAGUGGUUGCCUGAAUCUUCUUCUCCAAGAUUGAAUUAAUAAGCUGGGAACAUUGAAUGUAAGAUGUAUUCUUCAAGUAAGGUGCCAAAGUCAAUUUCGUCAAGAUUAACCCAUAAAGAGAUGGGAAGAAGGAAAUAGUUUGAUAAAGAAAAAAAGAGGUGAAGGGAAGAAAGAGCAAUGAAAUAAAGAAGAAAUUGAGGGUCUCUUUCUUGGUUUAAUAAGUAAAGGGAAUGUCGGUUAUAUUAGAGUAUAUUUCCAUGUAGAGGUUAAUAAAAUCACCGAAAAUCAGGGAUUAAUUCCAUUGUAUAGCUAAUUAUUUUCUUUCCUUAUAUAGCUUGUAAUAUUCUAUAAAUCAAAUGUAAUACACACGAGAAGAUUCAUUCUGCAAAAUAUUGUCAUGGUAUCAGAGACCUAAAAUCCUCUUUCUCGUACUUGUGAUCGUCCUCGUGUGUUCGACACCAUCCAGGGGCGAACCCACAUGGGGUCAUGUGGGGUCAAAUGACCCCACAGUUUUUUUUUUUUUUUUUUUUUUUGAAAACGGUUAUCCAUGAAUAUUUGGGAGUUCCAAUUAAUUCCUAGCCGGCUAGCCCAAUGACUCCAAUCCAUUAUCCAUAUCCAUUAAUCCAUAGUCCAUAGAUGAUAGACCUAAGACCAUAAUCCACUCUCCACUCCAUUGUCUUCCCACCGAUUUCUGAUGAGAAAAAUGUAGGAAAAUUUGAAAACUUAAUGAAUUCUAAAGUACGAAAAACGUUAUCUUUUAAGAGAUGUUUCUUUCCUAUCCAACGAAGUCACUAUUGGGGUAUGAUAGAAAAUCUCUCUUAGAAUACAAUGGAGGCGUUUGAUUCAAAUUGUGACUAUUUGAUCAAACCAAGAAGACACUCGAAAAAGAACUGAUGAUGCCAAGAGAAAGAGAGAAGAAUAUUUUUUAAUGUAUUUUGCAAACGAGAAUUCGCCCAGAAUUUAUAGAAAUUAAGGCAACCGUUUGAAUAGGUGUAUCCCUUAAAAUGAAGAACACAUAUGUUGGAAGUAGCAGUCAAAACGAACAAAUGCACCUAUUCAAAGACUUUUGAAAAUAAAAUUCUCUUUCGGGGGCGUUGCCCUUUGCGCAACAACAAACACUAGUCGAAGUGGCAAAUCAUUCGCAAAACAAAAAAAUAAAUACAUGCAAAAUGAUGAAAAAUAUCUAACAAUUUCUUCCCAAACAGCAGCGAAGCCUUCAUUUUUGACCCCACAGUCUGAAGUCUAUGGGUCCGCCCCUGGCACCAUCUCGUGUUUUUUCGGCAAUCUAUAGUUGGUAGGUGGUUGAUCGUAGUCGACGACUGUCAUCGGACCACUGUUCAUUGAAGUUCGUAUCUUCGGUGGUCGCAUCCCUUCUCUUCCUCAUUGGUUGAGUUUCUCGGCCUUCGUCUUUGUCUCUAUCUUUGUCUUGCGUCGCGCCUCCCGGUUUGCUCCGCCUAGUGGUGUUUAGUCAUAGUUUCCUUCUCAGUUCAGUUGUUGAUUCUUGGUCGAGGGAGGUUUUUGGCAUCUCGGUGUUGGGUUGGGGACUUCACAUCUCCAGUUGAAUUCUUCUUUGUAUUAACUUGGUUUCUUCUCUUUCUCCUGGACUGGGACGUGAAUUGUGGUGGUGUUGGGCUAUUGGGCUUGAUUCAUUAUUAGUUAAGCUGAAUUAUUUGAAUAGUGUUGGUCGAUUGUAUUUGGGCUACUCUUUUAAUUAAGCCCCCGUUUGAGCUCCAUUAUUUCUCAUUACAUUAAAUCAAAAUUUUCUCUAUCCCUACUUUUAACCACACAAUUUUCAAUAAAAUAAUAUUACACGUAAAUCAAAAGUUUUUCAACAACUCAUUUUAAAAAAAACACUAUUCAUCUCAUUAUAAUCUACAAAUAAUGGGGCUCAAAUGGGGGCUAAUUAUUAGUUCCAUCAUGUCAACCGAUAAGAAUUGAGUCGGUUUGUAUUCGCUUUUUUGGAAAAAAUUAUUCUUCAUGGGCUUUUCACUUUCAAUUGUUGGUUGAAGGCAAAGGCGAUCUUUGGGGAUAUAUUGAUGGAGAUCUUCCUUCUCCUGAUCAAGAGAAGGAUAAAGAAAAGUAUAUUGCUUGAAAAACCAAAGAUUCUCAACUUAUGGCCUGGAUCAUUGGAUCAGUUGAUGAGUAGAUUGUCCUUAAUCUCAGACCUUACAAGUCAGUCCGUGCUAUGUGGGAGUUCUUGAAGAAAGUCUAUACUCAAAGUAAUAAUGCUUGGCGACUUCAGUUGGAGUUUGAAUUAGCAAAUUUCUCUCAUGUUCCAUUGAAGAAUAUUAUUCAGGAUUCUCUAACCUUUGGGCCGAGUACACAAAUAUUAUCUACGCUUUGGUUUCAUUAAACAAUUUGGAGGCUAUCCAAGUUGUACACGAAGUCACCAAGAGAGAUCAAUUUCUUAUGAAAUUAUGAACUGAAUUUGAAUCCACCCGAUCUGGUCUUAUGAAUUGCGAGUCUCUUUCAUCACUGGAUGGUUGUUUGGGUGAAUUACUGAGGGAGGAGCAGUGUCUUAUCACUCGCGCUUCUUUGGAACAACAACAGAAUAAUGUAGCACCGGCUCUCAUUGCUUAUGUGGCUCAAGGAAAAUUCAAGCAUCGGGAUAUGUCUGUUUGCAAUGUUAUAGUUGUAAGGGAUUUGGUUACAUAGCUCUUCAGUGUCCUAAAAAAGUUUGCAAUUAUUGCAAGAAGUCUGACUAUGUUAUUAAGGAGUGCCCCACUUGUCCUCCACGCAACAUUGGAGCAAAUUAUAUUGCUGUUGCAACUUUAGCCUCUAAUUCUGCUUUACCACCUGCUCCUUUUCAAGUUCCAACAUUUCUCAACUCUUCUCAAACUCACAUAACUCCUGAGAUGAUUCAACAAACGAUUAUCUCUGCUUUGGGUAUCUCAGGUAAUACACCAUCUACUCGUUCUUCUUGAUUAUUAGACUCAGGUGCCUCUAACAAUAUGACUCACGAUCCUUUGUUACUUUGUAACCUUAGACCAUAUAUAGGACCUUUCAAUGUACACACUGCCGAUGGUAACAAACUUCCUUUCUUCGCUGUGGGAGAUAUAUCACUUUAACCUCUCCUCAUUUAUUAACUAAUCUUUAUCUAUCGGGUAACUUAUUGAUAAUAAUUGUAUUGUCUCUUUUUCUUCUUCUAAUUGUCAUGUACAAGAUCAGAUGUCUGGAAGGACUAUCGAAAGGGACCUAAAGUGGGACGUCUGUUUCCUAUUUCAUAAAAGCCUAUUCCAUUUUCUUCUUCCGUUUGUAAUUCUGCCACUUUAGAUAUUUUUAAGUGGCAUAACAAAUUGGGACACCCCAAUUCGAAUGUGCUACUACACUUGUUAAACUCGGGUUUGCUUGGUAAUAAAAAUGCUGCUUCAGUUAUCUCUCUCGAUUGUGCGUCAUGUAAACUUGCUAAAAGUAAAGUUCUACCAUUCCCAUCUCAUGAUUCUCGUGCUUUACAAAUUUUCGAUAUUAUUCGUAGUGAUGUAUAGGGUGUUGCACCUGUGGUAUCCUAUGCACAUUAUAAAUACUUUGUUAUCUUUAUCGAUGAUUAUAAUCGAUUUACAUGGAUUUAUUUUCUUCGUGCAAAGAGUUAUGUCUUCUUUGCUUUUCAAGUCUUUCUUGCUCUCAUUGACAAUCAAUUUUAUUCCUCGAUCAAAGUCUUAAGAUCUGAUUCAGGAGGUGAAUGAAUGUCUAGAGCUUUUCAAUCUUUCUUACAACUCAAAUGUAUCAUUUCUCAGCGAUCUUACCCUUCUACGCCUCAACAAAACGGCGUGGCAGAACGCAAGAAUCGUUAUGUUCUUGAUAUGGUUCGAGCUCUUUUGAUUGAGUAUUCUGUUCCCUCUCGUUUUUUGUGUGAAGCAUUGUAUACCGCUGUGCAUCUCAUAAACCGAUUACAUUCUCUCACUUUUAGUAAUGUUUCUUCAUUUUUGAAAAUAUUUGGUUAUCAUCCCACAUAUUCUCAUCUCCGUCCCUUUAAGUCUGUAUGUUUUGUUCAUUUGCAAUCACAUGAAAGGACAAAACUUACUCUUCAAUCUGUCAAGUGUGCCUUUCUGGGAUAUGGUGGGACUAAAAAAUGGUACAUCUGUUAUGAUCCUACAUCACAACGAAUUCGUAUUUUUCAUAAUAUUAUUAUUUUUGAAAAAUAAUCAUUCUUCAGUUCAGAAACUGUAGUUUCUCCUCCUGUGUUCUCUAUGUUACCUGAUUUCCCUGCAGAACCAUCUCGGUACAAGCCAGCCUUGUUUACGCUCGUAGGCAUGUUGCAUCCAUCACUAAUCUAGAUCUUGUUUCUCCGAUAAUGGUCCUUCCAAGCUUCUCUGAUCCUCUACCUACGACUCCUGAUCCUGCACAUGAUGAUGUGCCGCCUCCCGUCCCUCUUCGUCUUACUUCUCAUGUUUCUCGACCACCCAAUAGGUAUGGUUUCUCCUUCCGUAGUUCUAUGUCCGCUACACUUAAUUCGAUUUCUAUUCCUUCUUCCCAUAGACAAGCUAUAGAACAUGAAUGUUGGUAACAGGCUCGAGGCUCUUCAGGCCAAUCAGACCUAGGAUAUUAAGUGUGAAACCCAUUGGAAGUAAAUGAGUAUAUUUCGUUAAACUUCGUUCUGAUGAUUCUCUUGAGUGUUAUAAGGCUCGAUUAGUUGUUUUGGGUAAUCAUCGGGAGUAUGAUGAGACAUUUGCUCUUGUAGCAAAAAUGACCACAGUUCAUCUCUUGUUAUUGCUUGCCACUUCCCAAUCAUGGUUUUUACAUCAAAUGGAUGUGAAGAACGCAUUCCUACAUGUACACCUCAAGGAGGAUAUUUAUAUGAAACUUCCAUCUGGUAUGCCUCUUCCCUUAAUUGACUCUAGAUAUUGGCUAAAAUGCUUUUUGUAUGAUCUUAAGUAGGCUCAUUGGGCAUGGUUGACAAAUUUCGUUGUACUCUUUUGGAUUUCUUAUUUACCCGAAGUCAGUAUGAGGCAUCUCUGUUUUUCACAAGAGUAUUGUUGGCAUUGUCUUUUUAUUGGUAGAUGUGGAUGAUAUUAUUAUCUCUGGAUUUGAUCACAGUCUUAUCCAGAAACUUCAGCAGCAUCUUCACUCGAUUUUUCACAUGAAAGACCUUGUUCAACUUACUUUCUUGGUUUAGAGGUACAUACCACAUCAGAUGGUAUCUUCUUGAAUCAACAUGAGUAUAUUUGAAGCCUCCUCAGUUGAUACGCUGUUGGAGCAUAAUGCCAAAUAUCGAGAAGAUGGAGGAGAUUUUCUUCCAGAUUCUACUCUUUAUUGGAAGUUUGUAGGUAGUCUCAUCCAUCUCACCAUCACACGUCCGGAUAUUUCCUAUGCGGUUCAUACUAUAAGCAAGUUUAUGGACGCUCCUCAUCAUCUUCAUUUGGUAGCCGUUCGUCGCAUUAUUUGCUAUCUUAUUGAAACUCCUCAUCGUGAUCUUUUCUUCCCUGGGGGGUCAUCUCUUGAGCUCACAGCUUAUAGUGAUGCUGAUUGUGCUGGUUGUCCUGAUUCCCGUCGAUCUGCUAUUGGAUGGUAUAUUUUUUUUUGGUGAUGCUCUCAUUUCUUGGAAAUGUAAUAAACAAGAAUGUGUUUCUAAGUCUUCCACUGAGGCUGAAUACCGAGCUAUAUCCGCUGCAUGUUUUGAGGUUACGUGGUUGCAUGGUCUUUUGGCAGAACUUGGUAUCUCUCAAUCAUAGUUUACACCCUUUCAUGGUAACAACAUUAGUGCUAUUUAGAUUGCGGCCAAUCCUGUGUAACAUGAACGCAGCAUAUAGAAGUCGAUUGUCAUUACAUCCGGAAUGCCUAUGAUUCCAAAGUCAUAUCUCUUCCCCAUGUUUCCACUUCACAACAGGGUACACAUAUCUUCACCAAAUUGUUAACUCGCCUCCUUCAUAACUUUCUCGUGAGUAAAUUGAUGCUUGUGGACUCCCCAACAUCAAUCGGGUCCGGGGGCGGGGGUUGUCAUUAGAGUAUAUUUCCAUGUAUAGGUUAAUAAAUCACAAACAAUCAGGAUUAAUUCCAUUGUAUAGCUAAUUAUUUUCUUUCCUUAAUAGCUUGUAAUAUUUUUAAAUCAAAUGUAAUACACACGAGAAGAUUCAUUCUGCAAAAUAUUGUCACGUUAAUCCCACAAUAAAAAAGGACCUAAAUAUGGAAUUUAGUUUUCGACCAGUUCUUGCUUUGGACUUUAUUUUAUCAAAUUUCCUUUCUAUGUAUUUCAAUUAGAUGAUGUUAAGUAGUUGAGCUUUGCAUUCUACCUUCCUAGUUUGUUAAGGACCUCAAUUUUUGGCAUUCAUCCAGUCUGAUUUUUGUUACAUUCUUCCUCACAUGCAUUUAUAUUUCAUUAUUUCAGGAUGAGAAUAAAUUAGAUUGGGAUAUCAGUAAAAGCCAUUUGAUCAAUGGUCCGUAGAUUGUGUAACUAUUACUUAACUUCAGCUACAGUCUGUAGGUUGUAUAAUUGUUAAAAAAACAUGUGAUUCUACUUCUAUAGAUUAUUAAAAUUAUGAUCUUUUUUUAAUGUUAUGGUCUAUUUUUGCUUCGGUAAAAAGUUGAAGCUACUGUUUGAACAAUAAUUUUAGAGUUUUGUUCUGAAUUUCUUGGCUUCCCAUUGCUUUUCUCCUUUUCCUUUCAAUGGAAAACAUCAUUGCUGGUUGCUACCUAAUUGUGAAUAUUUGUGAAACAGGUGAACAACAUUAGUGGCUAUCUUCCUGGUCGUAUAGUAUUUUUCCUGGUACGUCCUAUUUCAUUGUGUCGUAACACUUACCUACUCGUCUUGCAAUAUUACAUGGCUGUUUCUAUAGAUAUACCAUUCUAUCAUUAUCAAUGUCAAGUGUGAACAGAAGCACUUUUAACGAUGUAUAAGGUUCUAACCCAGAAAAGUUCAUGUAAGAGACCUUGGUCCACGUAGUACUCUUGAGGAGAUUUCCUUUGUCCCAAUCUAACUGGUGAUAAAAGUGCCAGGGAUUACAUAAAAUUAAAAAUGAUAAAUUUCAACUGUUCCCGAUGACCCAGGGUACUGUAUAUAUGUUUUCUUCUCAAUGUUGUUGCAAUUAGCAUAUUUGGAUCAUUAGGUUUCUCUAAACCUGUUUCUUCAAGCUGUAUGCUGCUUUCCCAUCUAUAUUUUGAACUUGCGACUUAUUAUAUAUGUAAAAGGAUCUGGAGGAAAAGGCUUUGCUCUAUAACAUUCCUCUCUUAUGAUCUAAGUAUUAUUUUUUCUCUUCAUCCGGCUAUUUAUUCAUUUAUUUUUUAUUUUGCCCCUAUUUGGGCCCCAUCCUUUAAAAAACAAUUUUCUUCAAAUUCAUUUUCAACCAUAUAUUCUCCCAAUAAAUAAUUUUGCACAUAAAUUCAAUUUUUUUUUUCUAUUUUUUAACUGCACGUUCUCUAAAAAAAAAAAUCACUUUUUGAUAAUCUAUUCUCAAAAAAUGGGGCUCCCCCCCCCCCCCCUCCCCCUUUCUUUUGCACUGCUUUAAAUAUAUUACAUAAAGAUAUGACUUCAGAUUGUGUUUCUUUCCAUUUUGCAGGUGAAUACACAUCUGACGCCAAGACCAAUUCUGCUUACUAGGCAUGGAGAGAGCCGUGACAAUGUUAGAGGCAGAAUUGGUGGUGACAGUGUGUUGAGGUUCUUUUUUAUUUUAUCAUGUUAAAUUUUCUACUAAAUUUGGGUAGAAUAUUUGAGUCUCUGAUUUAAUAUCCAUAAUUCUCUCGUUGAAAAUAAAGAUUCAUCUUUGGUAAAUUUAUUCUCAUUCAGCCAAUGCAAAAAUCCAAGAGCUGCAAACAGAAUUUCAAGGUUAAGGACCCAUGUUAAUGCCAUUAAGGGGUGGUGGGAUGUCAAUAUAUCUCAACAACCCUUCAUCAUACUUUUAGAUGUCCUGGAAUUCCACUAGCACGAAACUGCAAAAAAUUUGACUAGCUAUUGACUAAUAAUUUUUUGUUGUAUUUAUUUUGAGUUGACAAUUUCUGUGAUAUAAACUCAUUUCCUUCACUAUUACCUAAUCUAAAGUGCUAAUACCCUUUGACAGUGAUACUGGAGAGCUUUAUGCAAAGAAACUUGCUAAUUUUGUUGAAAAGCGUCUGAAAAACGAAAGGGCUGCUUCUGUAAGUUUCACCAAUUUAAAAAAUUUGAGUUCAAAGAUAGAAUUAGAUGUGUGACAAAAUCUUCUAUACAGUUCUUCUGAAUUUUAAGUUCAGAAAUUUUCUUUGCCCUGUCGUACAGUGUUGAUUGGAUAGUCUGUCUGUUGUUAUAUUAAAAAAAUAAAAAAAUAAAAAAAAAAAAUCUAAUGAAGUAUUCGCUGAGAAAACAUCUUAACCUCAUAGGUGGCCUUAUUCGAUUUGGCUAGCUGGAAAUCACAAAUUUAUGGUUAACUUGUUAAUAGUCUCUUAGAUCUGAUCCAUUUGUUGCUAAAAUAGUGCAUUUUUAUGUAUUUUUGGCUUAGAUAUAGAUCAUGUCAAUUUCUUUAUCUGUAAUGUUGGCACUGAUGAUGUUUGAAAAUGUAGAGUUCUCUCUUUUAAAGGCUUCAAGGAUAGAGGGUGUGGGCAAGAUUAAAGGUUUUUUUUUUGAUAGGUGGGUCAAGAUUAUAAAUUAGGGGCCGUAUUUCAGUUUCCCUAAUAUUAACCUUAUCUGUUCUGCAAGAUUUUUUCUUUCUUGAAAUAAGCCAAUCGUUUAUUCUGCUUGAAUUCAUGUCUGGGUGGAUAUAAGGUCAUGUCACCAGUCACCACCGUAUCAUGGUUUAUGAGAUUAUAUGCCUAUUGCUUCACCUCUAGAAGGCAAGGUGUUAAUUAGCAUCAAUAUCACUGCUGAAAAUAUAGAAUGGUUCUAAAUUAAUUCUUCUUUAAUAAAUAUUGCUGGUCAUUGUACGCUAGUCUUUAAUUCAAACAUCCAUUUGAUGAAUAAAAAAUUUGUCUCAAUGUGUUCUCUGAUAUUGAAUUGUAGCAUUUUUUUUCUGUAAAAAAUUAUAAUUCCUUGAACAUCCACUGGAGCUAACAUCGCAUAAAAUUACCAGAUUAAGUUCAUUGUUUUUGACAUCAUGUUUCUCCUAUGGCUUAGAUAUGGACCAGCACGUUGCAGAGAUCAAUUAUAACUGCUAGCCCAAUAGUUGGAUUCCCGAAGGUAGGUUGUGUUAACUGCUAUACGUGAUUAAAACAUAAAUUACAGUAUUCAGUAGUGAUGCUCCCACCAUUGUUUUAGUUGACUACUGAAUCUAUUUGUAAUUCCAUCUUCACUUGUAGAUACAAUGGCGUGCACUGGAUGAGAUUAAUGCUGGUGCAUGUGAUGGGAUGAAUUAUGAAGAAAUAAAGAGAAAUAUGCCCGAGGAAUAUCAGUAUGCUUCAGUUCUUUGAACUUUAUUUUAUCCUUUUAGUAUAUUUGUGCAUAGAUGAAGCAUAGUAUUAUCUGACUUGAAAGUGCGAUAUUCGUGAUGGAUGUUUGACCCAUUGAUUAUUUUGAUCACUGUUUCAUUGUCAAUCAAAUAAGACCUACAUCUUCUCACAUUUAAAUUAUUUUUGUUAAGAUUCAUUUUUCUCUAUCAUGUUAUCAUGAUAAAUUUUGAGAUUUGUAGAACAUGAUCCUCAAUUCAAUUUAAUAUACUAUUGUGACAGAAGAUCCAAACAUUGAUUACAUCUCGAAUCUAGCUUGAAGGCUUGUAAACACAUGUUUUCUUCUGUUAAUUGCCUUAAGAUACACUCUUCUGUACAUGACUAUAUAUACAAGUGAAUUAAGAAACAAGGAAGGAAACCAAUCUCCUAAAUAAGGGAUAAAUAAUUAUCCUACUUAACUAUAGAAAUAAUCAAAUAUGCAAUCUCAAUCAAAUCCCAAAUUUUCUCCAUUAAUCCGAUUUUCUAUACUCCCCCUCAAGUAGGAUGGUAAAUGUUGACUAUAUCCAACUUGCAAAUGAAGUUAUCGAAAAUCUGUCGAGAUAGUUAUUUGGUGAAGAUAUCUGCCGUUUGUCCUUUUGUAGGGACAUAUGUCAUACAAAUCACCCAUUCUUCCACCUUUUCUUUGAUAAAGUGUCUGUUCAUUUCUACAUGCUUGGUUCUAUCGUGUUGUACUGGAUUCAGAGAGAUGCUGAUAGCUGCCUUACUGUCACAGUAUAGUUUGACUGGAAAUUUCAUGGCAACUUGCAAUUUUUUCAAGAGUUUCUUUAACCACAGUCUUUCACAGAUUCCUUGUGCAACUGCUCUAAAUUCGGCUUCUGCACUGUUUCGAGCCACUACAUUUUGUUUCUUGCUUCUCAAAGUUACCAAAUUGCCCCAUACAUAGGUAUAAUAGCUAGUUGUUGAUCUUCUAUCUUCUGUAAAACCAGCCCAAUCUACAUCUGUGUAGACUUCUAUUUCUUUUCUUUCAUUUUUCUUGAAGUAUAAUCCUCUUCCUGAAGAACUUUUUAGAUAUCUGAGAAUUCUAUAUACUACUAUUAGAUGAGUUUCCUUAGGUGAAUACAUAUGUUGGCUAACAACACUAACUGCAAAUGCAAUAUCUAGUCUACUGUGAGAUAGGUAGAUUAACUUCCCAACUAGUCGCUGAUAUCUAUCUUUUUCAACCGGUUCUCCAGUAUUCUCUUUCUUCCUGACUCGAUUGAUGUCUCACUUGGUUUACAUUCAAGCAUGCCAGUUUCUGAUUAGAUCAUGAAUGUAUUUUCGUUGUGAAACAUUGAUGCCCUUUCUUGUCCUUGCUACCUUCAUUCCCAAGAAAUACCGCAUCUGUCCCAGAUCUUUUACCUCAAACUCAGUUGCCAGGUAUUUGUUUAGUCUAUCCAUCUCAAUUAUGUUAUCUCCAGUUAGGAUUAUAUCGUCAACAUACACAAUCAAAAUUGUUUUUCUUCCACUCUCUAGUUGUUGGAAGAACAUAGUAUGAUCUGAUCGUCCUUGCUGAUAACCCUGCCUUUUUAAUACCUUGGCAAAUUGAUCGAACCAGGCUCUUGGUGACUCUUUGAGACCAUAUAGAUAUUUUUUCAAUUUACAGACUUUAUUUUCGUCCUGUAAGUAGAAGCUUGGAGGUAGUGUCAUGAAGAUCUCUUCUUCCAAUUCUCCAUUCAAAAAUGCGUUCUUUAUGUCAAGUUGCUGAAAUUGCCAAUCCAAAUUGGCUGCUAUAGAUAGGAGGACACGUAUCGUAUUUAGCUUGGCCACUGUUGCAAAUGUUUCUAUGUAGUCUAUACCGUAGAUUUGUGUGUAUCAUUUCGCCACCGGACGAGCUUUGUAUCUUUCUUACUUAUAUUUCACAUUAAAGACCCAUUUGCACUCUACGGGUCUUUUUCCUUUUGGUAGGUCCAUCACAUCCCAAGUUUCAUUUUUCUGAAGGGCUUGCAUUUCUUCCAUCACCGCAUUUCUCCAAUGUGGAAUAUCCACGGCUUCCUCAACAUUUCUUGGAAUUGCUGUAAUGUCAAGGUUAGAUGUAAAAGUACGAAAUUUAGUAGAUAAAGCAUUAUAUGAAAUGAAUUUUGAGAUGGGAUGAAGGGUACAUGAUCGGGGUUGUUUUUUGAGUGCGAUGGGUAGAUUGAUAUCAAGUGAUUUGGACUCAUCAAGAUGUGGAGCUAUCAUCAGUUCAAACUCUCUUGGUGCUUCAAGUACGAGGUUAUCUUUUGGCUUUGGCCUCCUAGAGUAAACUAAUACCUCCUUUUCCUUUUGUUUUUUUGCAUCUCCCCCUGAGUUCAAGUGUUCUACAUGUGGCAUGUUGAUAUUUGAUAGUGUGGUAGGAUAUGAAUUUGUGUUGGAGGUAUGUUCAGAAGGGGAGAGAUCAAAAUCUAUGAACCGAUCUUCACUCAAAUUCUCCCCCUGAAGGGAGGGCUUCUGGAAAUAGGUAAAUUUUUCGAAGAAUGUGACAUCAAGACUGACGAAUACCUUUUUUGUAGAUGGAUCAUAGCAUUUGUAGCCCUUUUGAGUAGUUGAAUAUCCAAUGAAUACACAUUUAAUCGCACGAGGGUCAAGUUUAUUUCGAUUGUGGGAAUGAAUAUGGACAAAUGCAGUACAACCAAAUACUCUGAAGGGUAGAUUAGAAUAUAGAGUACAACCAAAUACUCUAAAGGGUAGAUUAGAAUAUAGACUUAAGGUAGGAAAGAUUUUAUGGAAUUUGUCGAGAGGUGAUUCAAAGUCGUGUGCCGCUAGGCAUUCUGUUGAUAAGAUAGGUAGUGGUUAAGAUGGCGUCUCCACGUGGUUUUUUGGCAUAUUGGCAGUGAGCAUUAAGGCAUGAGCAACUUCAAGUAGAUGUCUAUUUUUUUGUUUAGCAAUCCCAUUUUGUUGGGGAGUGUCGAUACAAGAACUCUGGUGUACUAUUCCAUGUUUUUGUAAAUAGUCACGUAAGAUGGAAUUGAAGUAUUCAGUGCCAUUAUCUGUGCGAAGAAUUUGAAUUUGGGUUUGGAAUUGUGUUUGAAUUAUCGAGUGAAAGUUGAUAAAUAUUGAGCGCACAUCAAUUUUUUCUCUUAGCAUGUAAGUCCAACAAACCCGAGCAUGGUUAUCAAUGAAUGUAACGAACCACUUUGUAUGGGUGCGAUUAGGGAUUCGUGAAGGUCCCCAUAAAUUGCUGUGAAUUAUAGAGAAUGGUUUAGAUGGUUUGUACACGGAUUUCGAGAAAGUAUUACGUUGGUGUUUUGCUAGUUCACAAAUUUCACAUUGAAAAUCAAAUGAAGUUUUAUUCGAAAAGAUAGACGGAAGCACGUUUAAGAUAUUGAAUAUUGGGAUGACCCAUUCUGUAAUACCACAAUAAGAUUUCACUAUCCCUAGAGACAUGCAGAAUCAAAAUUGCAAUUUGGCUUGGCUUACUCAUAUCUGCCUCCUCAAAGACCUCAAAGACCCUCAUACUCUUUGACACUGUUAAUCGUCUUUUUCGAUUAUAGGUCCUAAAAGAUACAAGAAGAAGGGAAAAAUUUAGCUGAGCAAUUUGAGGUUUUUGUUAAAUGACAGCAAGUUUCAAGUUAAUUUUGGAACAUGAAGUACUGAAUUUAGUGUUAUAGAUUCAAAUAAUUGGAUACUUCCUUUUCCUACCACAGUUGAGAGUGACCCAUCCGCAAUUUUAACCUUAAUAUUGCCGGUACAAGUUGUGUAUGAUGAGAAAAGUUGGUGGGCUCCAGUCAUGUGAUCCGACGCUCCUGAAUCAAUAAUCCAAGGAAUUUUGUAUUUCGAGGACGUAGUCAAGGCACUUGAGUGAUUACCUUUGUGAGCUAGUGAGCUUGAAGGGUCGUGUGUGGAAGGUUGACCUGAAGUUUGAAGACUGGAAAAGAUUUGAUAAAGUUGUUCCAAUUGUUCAGGAUUAAAUGCUCGCCCUGUAGUGGAAUUAUCUUUAAAAUUUUCCGUAUGAUCAAUUGCUGCUUGAUAGCCUCGAUUCCUGGUAUUUCGCCUUGGCUUCCGAUCAGUAGGUUUCCUGUGUAAAUCCCAGCAUGUAUCUUCCUUGUGUCUUAGUUUACUACAGUGUUCACACCAAGGCCUCCCCCUUUGUUGUUUUGAUCUAAUUGAAACCGACCCAUUUAAUCCAGGCCCAAUAGAGUCAUUUGGCCCAUUAUAUGGUUUUUCAGCCCAUCCACCUUUAGUAAUAAAAUUAGGCCCAUUCGGCCCAGUCACUGCCAACGGCCCAUUAAUCGCUUUCCCAUUUCUUUUGAACCCAGGUCCAUUCCGUUUCAGCAGCAACGCCGAUUCUACUGCACUGUCAUCUUCGCCAGUCUUCAUGAUAAUUUUCCGGCGAUUUUCCUCCCUUCGGACUUCUGCAAAGACCUCUCUCGUGGUUGGCAGUGGUCGUCGGCUCAAGAUUCACCCCCAACAUCAUCCAGGUCUCGGUUAAGGCUUGCAAGAAAUUCAAAAACCCGUUCGUUUUCAACCCUUUUCCGGUACCGUACACUAUCGCUUGGAGAUUCCUAUUCUUCCUCGAGGCAGAGGUCCAGUUCUUGCCACAUAUUCGUCAUUUCCAAGUAGUAGUUAGUGACUUCUCUUUCCCCUUGUUUGGUUUGCCAUAACCGGGUCUUCAAUUCGAAGAUUAGUGAGGCGUUUACUCCAUCAUAGUAUGUGUCCUUAGCUGCAUCCCAAACUUCUUUCGCAGUCGACAGAAACAGAUAAGUUUUACCUAUUGCUGGAGUCAUAGAGUUAACUAGCCAGGCUGUUAUCAUUGAAUUCUGAGACUUCCACUUCUGAAGAAGUGCCACAUCCGUUGGUUUCUUGGUAUCUCUAGUGAGAUACCCCAAUUUCCCUUUGCCUUCGAUAAUUAGUUUGAUGGAUUGGGCCCAUUCUCGGAAAUUUCCUCCGUUCAGAUUUUUUGACGGUGAGUUGAAAGGAAGAAUUUUCGACGUUAUUGGAUCCCAUGGAUGAGAUGACCUCUGUCUCGCUUUGGAGAGUUUCUGAGGUUGUAGAUUCCUUACUGUUUGUAGGAAUUUCUGACAUGGAUUGCUAGGUUAAUAGGGGUCUAGCUCUGAUACCAUGAAGGCUUGUAAAAAACACGUUUUCGUCUGUUUAUUGCCUUAAGAUACACUCUUCUGUACAUGACUUUAUAUACAAGUGAAUUAAGAAACAAGGAAGGAAACCAAUCUCCUAAAUAAGGGAAAAAUAAUUAUCCUACUUCACUAUAGAAAUAAUCAAAUAUGCAAUUUCAAUCAAAUCCCUAAUUUUCUCCAUUAAUCUGAUUUUCUACAUAGCUGUUACAUACUGAUUCCAGCAGAACUAUCGUUGAACUGUGAACUCACUCUGUGAAUCGGAAAAGUUUCCUGUGUUGUGUCCAUCGUUGUAAUCGUUAAAAUCCUAGAUAAAUCCGAUUAUUAUUCCUGGAAUUGAAAGUACAUUCUUCCUUGAGUCAACUUCGGCACGUGAAAUGUUCAUGACUGCCUUAUAAAUCUUGUUGGUUAAAUAAGAUAUCAAAUCUUUUGGGCUAAAUGCUUUGGUGUCUUAUCUAAGUUCUGUUUACUUAUUUGCUGUUGAGUUCUGGAUCGUUUUUAGAUUUGAUGGCAACAGAAGCAUGAGAAAAGUAUCCUUCGAGGUAGACAUUUGUUGUGUUAGGGAAGGCCUUUUAAUGGGGCUUAAUUGAGCAGUCCUAGUAUCCUCGAAAGAAUAAUAAAAGCCAAAGGCUUAAUUUCUUAAUAUCAAAGUCUAAAACAGGGAUCUAGACAUCAUAGGACACUAACCUGGCCAAUGGAAAGAGAGAAAAUGAGACACAACUAAAUUAGGAAACUAAAUGUUGAUAGAUCCUUAAUAUAUUGGAAACUGAGUUGCUUCAAUUGAUAUAAUUUGAUCUAAUUAGCAAGCAAUAUGAUUUGUUAAUACUAUGUUUCUGUUAUCACGUCUUUUUUGUCAUGUUCAAAUCCUGUUUAAUAAAAUAAAAAUUUGUCAUUGUUAUUAGUUAGUUAAUUGAUCCUCUCCUCAUAGUUAUGCACUGUUGAUGUGUAAGCUUUUAUUCUUGAGCAUACAUACUGAGUUUUUCAAACUGUAUUCUUGUCAAUUCUACUCUAUGUUUCUUUCUUUCUUUCUUUCUUUUUUCAAUUUUUUAUGUGGGGCAGGUGUAUUUCUUGAAGUCACUUGUUCUUGAGGUUUAUUGUGUUCUAUAUAUCACAGGUCCAGGAACAAGGAUAAAUUAAGAUAUAGAUAUCCUCGUGGGGAAUCUUAUCUAGAUGUUAUACAAAGGUUUGCAAUAAAAUGCUUUGCUAAUUCUUGGAAAGAUUUAGUUUAUCUGUUUAUUAUGCUUGGGUAAUGUUAUUUGCCUUUGGGCCUCUUUCAGGUUGGAACCUGUGAUUAUUGAACUUGAACGACAAAGAGCUCCGGUUGUGGUGGUAUCUCACCAGGUUUCACUUCUCAUCAUGAAACUGAAGUCUCAUCCCAAAAUGGCGUUGUAUUUCAGAGUGCUAAAAUGUUGUUAUUAUGGUCUGUCUUGCAGGCAGUACUGAGAGCUUUAUAUGCAUAUUUUGCUGACAGGCCAUUGCAAGAAAUACCCCACAUAGAGGUAAUUUGAGCAUGAUGGUUGAUAAUGUAAGAUGAUUAUUUGCCUGUAGUUUUACGCAUGAAAUGGAACUGACAAAUUCUCACUCAAUGUCUUUCACAUCUAACCAGAAGAAUUAUCUGUGGUUGCAACAUAUAUAGCACAUACAUGCUUUAAUGAUAUAGUAUUUAAUUUUCUUUUAUCACAACAAUCUUUACCCUUCACAAUCAGUGAAUAGGAAUUUUAAUUAAUGCUUAAGAUGCUAAGAAGCUAUGAAUUUUGGUUUGGCAAUUUGCAGAUGCCGCUUCAUACAAUCAUAGAGAUACAAAUGGGAGUCAGUGGUGUCCAGGAGAAAAGAUAUAAGCUCAUGGAUUAAAUUUGACUGAGAAAGUUGCUUAUAUGGAAAUUCUACACAUGGUACAGUAGCAAGGUCUCCAUAUUCUUGAAUGUAUAUUUCAUUAUAGGAUCUAAUCUUAACAGGGUUAUGUGACAACAAUUUAGUAGUCUCGACUACAAAUUUGGCUGUGCUCUCUCUUUCUCAGAGAGAGAGAGAGUCGCGCACUCAGGAACCUGUGCAUAUGUACGUGCAAAUCUCUUCAAAAAUAAGUUGGUGACUUCAUCAUGUAUUACCCUGAAUCUCGAGAUUUUGUUGUCUUCUUUGAUUGUAAUCUAUCGUUAUACAACAUGCUAACUUCCAAGCAUGGAGGAACUGUAAAUUGAACAUUCGCCUGUUGUUGAUAAUUGCAUUCAUCAGGUUAUACAUUUGCUCUGCUUGAUGAAGGAAGUUGAUCAUGUAACAAUUACCUGUUCGAUUAUUUUGUGUUGUACUUAUUGGGGUUAUUGUAGAUGCAGGAUAUAGUUUGACUUAAGUUGGCCUUGCAGGCUGUCUGAAACAAGUCAGAUACUGGUAAAUUCUGACUUGGUUUUCUUUUAUGCUUAAUCUUUAAGGUGUUUAGAGCAAUGUGGAUGGGUUCUAGCGCAAUAUUUACUACAUUUAGUCCCUGUUUGUUUCUCAUUUUUUUCUCAUUAAAAUGAAAAAUAUAACUGUUAUUCAUCACAUCAAGCCCCUAUACUUGAAUUUCUAUUUCUUGUGUGAGGCCCGUAACGGCUAUAUUUUUCAUUCCAAUUUUGACAUAAAUGGGAAACAAACGGGGCCUUAAUAUCUUGGAAGGAAACUGCCUAGUUUCAUGGUAAUCCACUUUCGCUUCAUCUCCCUACGAUUUCAACUUUUUAGAGUUAACAGGGGAACGCUUGCUACUACUAACCAGCCCAUUAUGCAUAUGAUUCAACAUGCCAACUAUUAAAGAACUUAUUAGAAAUAAAUUGGCGUUAUCUAUUAAAAAUUGUGGUAGGGCAGUUUAUGAAUGUCUUCGUGGUGUACUUGAUUUUACCAAAGAUGAUGAAAACUUGAACUCUCAGGCAUUUAUGUGUUGGAGAGAUUGUUUCUUAUUUUGUGUCGAAGCAAUUUAUAAAUCACAAGUUGAAAUAGGUGAAAUCAAAGGGCAUUACUUGAAUGUUGUUGGUAUAUGCGAAGGAUUGAUCAAAAGAGACACAAAUGGGGAAAAUUUCUCUCUUGCUUAUUCCUAUGCCUAUGAGUUCAAACUAAAGCUCUUAUUUUUUGUUGUGUAAUAGUAUGAAAUAAUGGACGGUAUAAAUUUAACAAUACUUUUUCUCCAAGAUCUGUUGCAGGAAUGGGAUAUUUCGAAUGAGUCUUGAAUGAGCCUCUCGAAAGCUUGAUACAACUAAACUAAGCCCGACCCAUAAAUGGCACAGUUUGGCGGGUGUGGGUGAAUGUAGUAGGAAGUGGACCGUGGUUCGUAGGGCAUUUUGUUUUUCUUAAUUUAUAUCUUCGUUCUUUUUCUUUUGCAUUUAUAUUUGUAAUUAAAAAUAAAGGUAUAAUCAUCUUUUUGGUCAAUUUUAAUUUUUUACUAUGAUAUUAAGGAGUGUAUUUCACUCAUACUUUAGACACCA